rnacentral:rRNA from 1 species
CCCUUAGAUGUUCUGGGCUGCACGCGCGCUACACUGAAGCGUUCAACGAGUAUUCACCUUGCCCGGGAGGGUUGGGUAAUCUUUUGAAAACGCUUCGUGAUGGGGAUAGAUUAUUGCAAUUAUUAAUCUUCAACGAGGAAUUCCUAGUAAGUGCAAGUCAUCAGCUUGCGCUGAUUACGUCCCUGCCCUUUGUACACACCGCCCGUCGCUACUACCGAUUGAAUGGUUUAGUGAGAUCUCUGGAUUGACGCUGGCUAGGGGGCGACCCUUGGCCAGACUGCUCGAGAAACUGCUCAAACUUGAUCAUUUAGAGGAAGUAAAAGUCGUAACA